rnacentral:snRNA from 1 species
AACAGAAAUCUCGUGUGGAA